GAAUUUAUCCCUUCGGGGGCCGCGGCCGUGCCCUCCGGGGUCCGGCCGUACAAUCCACAUCCAUAACACCUGUGAAAUGUCUUGUCAAGCCUGGUAGCCCUCACGGGUCGCCGGACUUGUCACAACCACAAACUUACUCUGUAAAAAAUGUCGAAUUAUUAUAAUCUAAUAAAACUUUUAACAACGGAUCUCUUGGCUCU
rnacentral:misc_RNA from 1 species